UUAAUAAGCGGAGGAAAAGAAACUAACAAGGAUUCCCUCAGUAACGGCGAGUGAAGCGGGAGGAGCUCAAAUUUGAAAUCUCCGAUGCUUGCAUCGGCGAGUUGUAAUUGCGAGAAGCACUUUCUAGGCGGAUCGGUUGUGCCUAAGUUGCUUGGAACAGCACGUCGCAGAGGGUGACAACCCCGUCUGUGGCGCGACCGGCCGCUGACGAUGUGCUUUCGAAGAGUCGGGUUGUUUGGGAAUGCAGCCCAAAAUGGGUGGUAAACUCCAUCUAAAGCUAAAUACUGGCGUGAGACCGAUAGCGA
rnacentral:rRNA from 1 species